rnacentral:rRNA from 1 species
CCUACGGGAGGCAGCAGUAGGGAAUCUUCCACAAUGGACGCAAGUCUGAUGGAGCAACGCCGCGUGAGUGAAGAAGGGUUUCGGCUCGUAAAGCUCUGUUGGUAGAGAAGAAAGAUAGAGGUAGUAACUGGCUUUUAUUGGACGGUAAUUAUUUAGAAAGUCACGGCUAACUACGUGCCAGCAGCCGCGGUAAUACAGAGGUGGCAAGCUUUGUCCGGAUUUUUUGGGCGUAAAGCGAGUGCAGGCGGUUCAAUAAGUCUGAUGUGAAAGCCUUCGGCUCAACCGGAGAAUUGCAUCAGAAACUGGUGAACUUGAGUGCAGAAGAGGAGAGUGGAACUCCAUGUGUAGCGGUGGAAUGCUUAGAUAUAUGGAAGAACACCAGUGGCGAAGGCGGCUCUCUGGUCUGCAACUGACGCUGAGGCUCGAAAGCAUGGGUAGCGAACAGGAUUAGAUACCCGAGUAGUC